AGACCCGAAACCCGGUGAUCUAGCCAUGGGCAGGUUGAAGGUUGGGUAACACUAACUGGAGGACCGAACCGACUAAUGUUGAAAAAUUAGCGGAUGACCUGUGGCUGGGGGUGAAAGGCCAAUCAAACCGGGAGAUAGCUGGUUCUCCCCGAAAGCUAUUUAGGUAGCGCCUCGUGAAUUCAUCUCCGGGGGUAGAGCACUGUUUCGGCUAGGGGGCCAUCCCGGCUUACCAACCCGAUGCAAACUGCGAAUACCGGAGAAUGUUAUCACGGGAGACACACGGCGGGUGCUAACGUCCGUCGUGAAGAGGGAAACAACCCAGACCGCCAGCUAAGGUCCCAAAGUCAUGGUUAAGUGGGAAACGAUGUGGGAAGGCCCAGACAGCCAGGAUGUUGGCUUAGAAGCAGCCAUCAUUUAAAGAAAGCGUAAUAGCUCACUGGUCGAGUCGGCCUGCGCGGAAGAUGUAACGGGGCUAAACCAUGCACCGAAGCUGCGGCAGCGACACUAUGUGUUGUUGGGUAGGGGAGCGUUCUGUAAGCCUGCGAAGGUGGCCUGUGAGGGUUGCUGGAGGUAUCAGAAGUGCGAAUGCUGACAUAAGUAACGAUAAAGCGGGUGAAAAGCCCGCUCGCCGGAAGACCAAGGGUUCCUGUCCAACGUUAAUCGGGGCAGGGUGAGUCGACCCCUAAGGCGAGGCCGAAAGGCGUAGUCGAUGGGAAACGGGUUAAUAUUCCCGUACUUGGUGUUACUGCGAAGGGGGGACGGAGAAGGCUAUGUUGGCCGGGCGACGGUUGUCCCGGUUUAAGCGUGUAGGUGUGUGUUCCAGGUAAAUCCGGUUCACUUUAACACUGAGGCGUGACGACGAGGCACUACGGUGCUGAAGCAACAAAUGCCCUGCUUCCAGGAAAAGCCUCUAAGCAUCAGGUAACAUCAAAUCGUACCCCAAACCGACACAGGUGGUCAGGUAGAGAAUACCAAGGCGCUUGAGAGAACUCGGGUGAAGGAACUAGGCAAAAUGGUGCCGUAACUUCGGGAGAAGGCACGCUGACACGUAGGUGAAGUGAUUUACUCACGGAGCUGAAGUCAGUCGAAGAUACCAGCUGGCUGCAACUGUUUAUUAAAAACACAGCACUGUGCAAACACGAAAGUGGACGUAUACGGUGUGACGCCUGCCCGGUGCCGGAAGGUUAAUUGAUGGGGUCAGCGCAAGCGAAGCUCCUGAUCGAAGCCCCGGUAAACGGCGGCCGUAACUAUAACGGUCCUAAGGUAGCGAAAUUCCUUGUCGGGUAAGUUCCGACCUGCACGAAUGGCGUAAUGAUGGCCAGGCUGUCUCCACCCGAGACUCAGUGAAAUUGAACUCGCUGUGAAGAUGCAGUGUACCCGCGGCAAGACGGAAAGACCCCGUGAACCUUUACUAUAGCUUGACACUGAACAUUGAGCCUUGAUGUGUAGGAUAGGUGGGAGGCUUUGAAGCGUGGACGCCAGUCUGCGUGGAGCCGACCUUGAAAUACCACCCUUUAAUGUUUGAUGUUCUAACGUGGACCCGUGAUCCGGGUUGCGGACAGUGUCUGGUGGGUAGUUUGACUGGGGCGGUCUCCUCCUAAAGAGUAACGGAGGAGCACGAAGGUUGGCUAAUCCUGGUCGGACAUCAGGAGGUUAGUGCAAUGGCAUAAGCCAGCUUGACUGCGAGCGUGACGGCGCGAGCAGGUGCGAAAGCAGGUCAUAGUGAUCCGGUGGUUCUGAAUGGAAGGGCCAUCGCUCAACGGAUAAAAGGUACUCCGGGGAUAACAGGCUGAUACCGCCCAAGAGUUCAUAUCGACGGCGGUGUUUGGCACCUCGAUGUCGGCUCAUCACAUCCUGGGGCUGAAGUAGGUCCCAAGGGUAUGGCUGUUCGCCAUUUAAAGUGGUACGCGAGCUGGGUUUAGAACGUCGUGAGACAGUUCGGUCCCUAUCUGCCGUGGGCGCUGGAGAACUGAGGGGGGCUGCUCCUAGUACGAGAGGACCGGAGUGGACGCAUCACUGGUGUUCGGGUUGUCAUGCCAAUGGCACUGCCCGGUAGCUAAAUGCGGAAGAGAUAAGUGCUGAAAGCAUCUAAGCACGAAACUUGCCCCGAGAUGAGUUCUCCCUGAGACUUUAGGUCUCCUGAAGGAACGUUGAAGACGACGACGUUGAUAGGCCGGGUGUGUAAGCGCAGCGAUGCGUUGAGCUAACCGGUACUAAUGAACCGUGAGGCUUAACCUU
rnacentral:rRNA from 1 species